UGCAAGUCGAACGGUAACAUUUCUAGCUUGCUAGAAGAUGACGAGUGGCGGACGGGUGAGUAAUGCUUGGGAACUUGCCUUUAGGAGGGGGAUAACAGUUGGAAACGACUGCUAAUACCGCAUAAUGUCUACGGACCAAAGGGGGCUUCGGCUCUCACCUGAAGAGAGGCCCAAGUGAGAUUAGCUAGUUGGUAAGGUAAAAGCUUACCAAGGCGACGAUCUCUAGCUGUUCUGAGAGGAAGAUCAGCCACACUGGGACUGAGACACGGCCCAGACUCCUACGGGAGGCAGCAGUGGGGAAUAUUGCACAAUGGGGGAAACCCUGAUGCAGCCAUGCCGCGUGUGUGAAGAAGGCCUUCGGGUUGUAAAGCACUUUCAGUUGUGAGGAAAGGUUGGUAGUUAAUACCUGCCAGCUGUGACGUUAACAACAGAAGAAGCACCGGCUAACUCCGUGCCAGCAGCCGCGGUAAUACGGAGGGUGCGAGCGUUAAUCGGAAUUACUGGGCGUAAAGCGCACGCAGGCGGUUUGUUAAGCUAGAUGUGAAAGCCCCGGGCUCAACCUGGGAUGGUCAUUUAGAACUGGCAGACUAGAGUCUUGGAGAGGGGAGUGGAAUUCCAGGUGUAGCGGUGAAAUGCGUAGAUAUCUGGAGGAACAUCAGUGGCGAAGGCGGCUCCCUGGCCAAAGACUGACGCUCAUGUGCGAAAGUGUGGGUAGCGAACAGGAUUAGAUACCCUGGUAGUCCACACCGUAACGCUGUCUACUAGCUGUUUGUGAAUUUAAUUCGUGAGUAGCGAAGCUAACGCGAUAAGUAGACCGCCUGGGGAGUACGGCCGCAAGGUUAAAACUCAAAUGAAUUGACGGGGGCCCGCACAAGCGGUGGAGCAUGUGGUUUAAUUCGAUGCAACGCGAA
rnacentral:rRNA from 1 species